GAGACCUUCGGGUCUAGUGGCGCACGGGUGCGUAACGCGUGGGAAUCUGCCCUUGGGUUCGGAAUAACUCGCCGAAAGGCGUGCUAAUACCGGAUGAUGUCGUAAGACCAAAGAUUUAUCGCCCAGGGAUGAGCCCGCGUAAGAUUAGCUAGUUGGUGAGGUAAAGGCUCACCAAGGCGACGAUCUUUAGCUGGUCUGAGAGGAUGAUCAGCCACACUGGGACUGAGACACGGCCCAGACUCCUACGGGAGGCAGCAGUGGGGAAUAUUGGACAAUGGGCGAAAGCCUGAUCCAGCAAUGCCGCGUGAGUGAUGAAGGCCUUAGGGUUGUAAAGCUCUUUUACCCGGGAUGAUAAUGACAGUACCGGGAGAAUAAGCUCCGGCUAACUCCGUGCCAGCAGCCGCGGUAAUACGGAGGGAGCUAGCGUUGUUCGGAAUUACUGGGCGUAAAGCGCACGUAGGCGGCUUUGUAAGUCAGAGGUGAAAGCCUGGAGCUCAACUCCAGAACUGCCUUUGAGACUGCAUCGCUUGAAUCCAGGAGAGGUGAGUGGAAUUCCGAGUGUAGAGGUGAAAUUCGUAGAUAUUCGGAAGAACACCAGUGGCCGAAGGCGGCUCACUGGACUGGUAUGACGCUGA
rnacentral:rRNA from 1 species